rnacentral:lncRNA from 1 species
GAGGUCAACACACAAUAGUGAAAGUCCAGGAUAUAUUCAGAAUCCUGUCAUUCCAUAACACUACAAUAGAGAACAUGUUGAUUUCCUAUCUCAAAUCAUCAAAUCACCUAUCCUUCCAGCCAAGAAAAAAUACCCCUAGCUGAACCAACGGCAUCUCAAGAAAGCCAUUUGCUAGUUUGACCCCCAGAAACUGACCUCAAGACAAUAAGAGAAGGUUUCUCUAACAUGGAUUCUUGAAUCCUUAUGACACAACAUCCACAUCAAUCAAUAAUAUCUUUGAUAGCACCCC